CCUCCAUGGAAGCAGGUCACAUCUCAUGCAAUCAGGCAGGGGAUUCCCUGUAACUUCUUCCAUCUACAGGUGAUGAUGGGAUGGAGCUCCAGCUCAAAAGAAAGACACAGAGGAUAACCCUUUACAAACCAUGCAAUGCUGCAGUACAAUGCUGUUUACAAUUUGCAAGUAGAGCCCAUUUGCUCCAGCCUAGCCUCCUGCUGAUGGACUAGGGACCCUUGCCAGCACAUCUUCUCCUAGGUCAUCUAACAAGGUGACUCCUAGGUUGGCAAUUUGCUUCUGAAGCUGUAAACAGAGAACUAGGAAAGCUUGUCAAGACCACUUCCUGCUUGGAAUAAGUCACACAGUUCAAUUUACUGGAGUAUUGUUCUCUUUGAGAUACUGCAUGUUCUGUGAGACCUCCUCCAGAUAAAAAUAGAUUGACAAGAUAGGAAAUGCUUGAAGUGGUCCUAAUCAUCAGGAUGAAAGCCAGGAAAAACAGAUUGUCCCAUGUCUACUAUUAACAUAAUUAAUGGCCUCAAGUUAUGAGAGGGGAGGUUUAGAUUGGAUUCUAGGAAACAUUUCUUCACUGAAGUGUUGUCAAGCAUUGGAUCAGGCUGCCCAGGGAAGUGGUGGGUCACCAUGCCUGGAGGUAUUUAAAAGACAUGUAGAUGUGGCACUUGAAGGACCUGGUUUAGUGGUGGACUUGGCAGAGCUGGGCUAAUGGUUGGACUCAACUUCAAGGGUCUUUUCCAGUCUAAAUUGUUCUGUGAUUCUGUAAUUCAGAUUAGCUUGGGUUUCAGUUCCCCCAGACUGACCAACUUCAUAGCUAGAUCUCUUUUUCUUCAGGGAUGUCAUGACAGAGUAGUUGGGACACUUCUGUCCUAUGGCAAGACUACAGUUACUGGCAUCAGCACUUCUGGUGGAGCAACAAACACAGGCUUAUGGAUCUCAGCAGUGCUGCCUAAUCAAUGAAAGUUUGGAGACUGUGUGCUGUUAACUCAUCUGAAACCAUGAUAAAGCCGUGGAUGGUCAUGUCAAAGAGCUAUGGAUAGGGGAUGAAAGUAUUUGCUGCCAAGGGUGGCAACAAACCCACACACCAUCUGAGUGUAAGCCAUUUCUGUAAGCACAUGAAGACAUGGCUUCUUUAAUUUUUUUCUCUAUGAGCAGUAUCCUUGUUUCUGACUUGAAUUAUAUUUUGUUUCUGUUCAUCUUCUCAGGAAGAGGAUUUCUGUGUUUGUUUGUUUUUCUUUUUCCAGUGUGUUUGGAGCUCUAGAUCACAAAUGUAUUUGUAUGGGGAUAAAAAGGAACAUGGUUUAAAGAAACAUAACUAGAACUAAUCAUUGUAGACAUGGUUGAUAGUUCUGGCUUGAAAAUUACCUUGAUUACAAUUGUUUAUCACUUUGAACAUAUGGUCUGAAAGUUUCCAUUCUCUGACUUCAGUUUGAUUUAAUCAAGGGCUUUGGGCAGGGGGAAGCUUGUUUCUUUCCAUGUCAGCUGAGGGAGAUAAGGCACUGCAGAAUAACACCAAAGUGGGGUUUUUCACACAGAAAAUCAUGUAAAGGUUGCAAUAUCACCAUCCUUGUAAGGAAAAAAUUGCAGUUUGGCAUGAAAUGUGCUUUUUCCUAUUUCUAGGUUACAGAUGUCAAAAAAAAAAUGAGUAUGAUCAGUAGAGACAAGGUAACAACUUUUACAUUUAUUUUCUGAAAGCACGGUCAAGUUUAGAGUUGCAUAGGCCUUCUCUUUUUAUGCAGUUUCUCUACUCUCUUGACUGUUCUGGGACUAGACAGAGGAGCUGAGACUGGGAGUCACAGAAUCACAGAAUCACAAGGUUAGAAGAGACCUUCAAGAUCAUCGAGUCCAACCCAUGCCCUAACACCUCAACUAAACCACAGCACUGAGUGCCACAUCCUAUCUUUUUUUAAACACAUCCAGGGAUGGUGACUCCACCACCUCCCUGGGCAGAAAAUUCCAAUACUUUAUCACUCUUUCUGAAAAAAAAAAAUUAAAAUUUUUAGAAAAUAUAUAUAAAAAAAAGGAAUCCUUUCUCUUCUGUGUAUUCAGUCCCAGAGGGAAUUUGAGAAGGAACCCUUUCCAUUGGGUUUGCCUUGGGUUACUGGUUUUGAUUUGAGAAAGUACCAAACAACACCCAAAAAAAAAAAAAAUCCAAGUAAUCCAAGCCCAGUAUCCAAAAUAUUGGACUAGGAAGUGGUGAUAAAAUUUUCAAAGGGUCUAAGUACCAUUUGCUUUGGUAGUUUUAAGUUACAGCCUUAGGAAGUGUCGGCCUCUUGUGCACCAUGCCUGGGUGUGCCCCCUUACCUGUUUCUGCCUUCUCUGCAGCAGGAGCUGGUCUGACUGUCCCAGGGGUGACCUUUGAGAGUGAUGGUUACAAGACAAUCAGGCACCUUGCAGAGAUGACAUUCCCUUGGAUAUACUCCUCUCUUACAGCCAUGACAGAUCCCAAAUGAUUCCAGUGCCUACCACUGCAGUGGGGAAGGAGUCUGAAUUUAUUACUGCUUGUCCCAAAACAAAACAGAACAAAGAGAAAGCACCCAAACUAACCCCCAAAACAUCAGAAGCAACAAGACUAGCUAUUUAGUACUAAUUGUGCUGCAAUAGCUGGAAUUCAGUGUAAAGAUCUAUCUGAAAUGUACUGGGGAGAUGCAUUGUAAAAGAAAGGUGUUGGCGUAUACGUGGUUGAAAUAUGAGCAAAUAUAUUGUUUGCUCUGUGAGUAAACACACAAGAAGAAGAGAACAAAGGAUCCACAAAAAUACCCAUCAUUCAAAUGGCCAGGGCAAGCUGGUCUCCUGCCUAGGCAAGCUGGUAUCUCAUUCUACCGAAAUUUUCCCUCUCUGUGACCAUCAGUUCAGGUAAGUUCCAACCUGCUUGACGGGGGAAGAAUGGGGCCCUCCCAGGAAUAUGGGCUUGAUCUGAAGUUCAAGAAAAAAGUCACUGCUUUACCACUGUUUUCAACAAAGCCCGUGCAGAAAUGAAUACAAGAGAAUGGUCUUGUUCACAUCCCAGUACUGUAAAUCCCCAAAGCAGCGACAGGCUGUUGGCUUCUCUUUCAUAUACAGUUGCAAAGACUGAGGCAUCUGUAACACAUCUUUGGGUUUCUUUUUUUUUUUAAACUCCCUGUGUUGUUUGUGGCAAUGGACUGGAGUGAUGGCAGAAAUGUGCAGAGCAACCGGCUCCCUGGCCAAAAGCCAACCAGCUUGCGUCCUCUCCAGUUACCGGAUCGCAAGCAUCAGGGAAAUGAUGUAGCUGCAAGAAAUGCUGAGGUCAACAGCUGAAAUCUGUUCUUUGUUGGGUUUUAAAGCAUUUCCCUCCAGGCCACAGACAAAAGUUGCUAAGACAGAUUGAAGCAUCGACAGAGAACAUUUUAAGGGAACAGCGUGUUGGGCACUAAAAGCCCAGCUCUGCAGGUGGAAGAGAAUCUGAGCAGUGCAACAGUGAGGGGGAAGAGCAGCAAGAGAAGGAAACAGCUGGUGCAGGUGUUCCUGCCAGAACACCAUGGACAGGAACAAACACUGUAUCACUAAGGUAGGAGUUGUUCUGCAUCAAAACCAAAGAAAGAAGGAACAAUUUUCCAAUUCUGACUAUGCACAACCAAAAAAUCUCAGGAACUCCUUCAAAUUUUCACCCACAAACCAAUGAAAUAUGAUCACCAGUGAUUUAAUGGGAUUUCCAGCAUUGUCGGGGAAAAUUACACCAAAAAGAUUUUUUGGAAAGACAGUGUUAUUAUAGAAAAAUUUAAACUUAAGAGAGAAAAGUGAUUCAAAUGCAAACACUGUCUCCUCGACUAAUCCUGCUCUGAAACCUUUUCUUAGCAUGAGAUAAAAAUGCAUGUUAAAUCCUCUCCUGUUUAGAGUAAGGACAUUUUUGAAGUUGUUACUGUACAGAUUACAUCCAAACAACACUCAAAAUAUGGCAGAAGUUUUAAUAAAUAUCUGUUAGCUUAAUUUAAAAUCA
rnacentral:lncRNA from 1 species